rnacentral:tRNA from 1 species
AAUAAAAUACCUGAUUUAAAGGAUUAUCGUGAUAGGAUAAAUAAUGUAGAUUUUUCUACUUUUAUUA